UAUCUGGAGGAGUAGUGGCUAGCAUGCGGUGCUCAGACUGCUGAUGCCCGGGUUCAAAUCCCAGUCAGGGAC